GACGAACGCUGGCGGCGUGCUUAACACAUGCAAGUCGAACGGUGAAGCGCCUUCCUUUUUGGUGGGUGUGGAUGAGUGGCGAACGGGUGAGUAACACGUGAGUAACCUGCCCCCUUCUUCUGGAUAACCGCAUGAAAGUGUGGCUAAUACAGGAUAUUCUGGGUCUGUCGCAUGAUGGGUCUGGGAAAGAUAUUGUUUCGGUGGGGGAUGGGCUCGCGGCCUAUCAGCUUGUUGGUGGGGUGAUGGCCUACCAAGGCGGUGACGGGUAGCCGGCCUGAGAGGGUGGACGGUCACACUGGGACUGAGACAUGGCCCAGACUCCUACGGGAGGCAGCAGUGGGGAAUAUUGCACAAUGGGCGCAAGCCUGAUGCAGCGACGCCGCGUGAGGGAUGGAGGCCUUCGGGUUGUGAACCUCUUUCGCCAGUGAAGCAGGCCUGCCUCGUUUGUGGGUGGGUUGACGGUAGCUGGAUAAGAAGCGCCGGCUAACUACGUG
rnacentral:rRNA from 1 species